AUUGAACGCUGGCGGCAUGCCUUACACAUGCAAGUCGAACGGCAGCGGACCUUCGGGUGCCGGCGAGUGGCGAACGGGUGAGUAAUAUAUCGGAACGUACCUUUCAGUGGGGGAUAACGUAGCGAAAGUUACGCUAAUACCGCAUAUUCUGUGAGCAGGAAAGCAGGGGAUCGCAAGACCUUGCGCUGAUUGAGCGGCCGAUAUCAGAUUAGCUAGUUGGUGAGGUAAAGGCUCACCAAGGCGACGAUCUGUAGCGGGUCUGAGAGGAUGAUCCGCCACACUGGAACUGAGACACGGUCCAGACUCCUACGGGAGGCAGCAGUGGGGAAUUUUGGACAAUGGGGGCAACCCUGAUCCAGCCAUGCCGCGUGAGUGAAGAAGGCCUCGGUGUAAG
rnacentral:rRNA from 1 species